rnacentral:lncRNA from 1 species
CACUUUUUAUAUUAAGUUUUUGAAGGUCAGUGUGUAUUUUAAACUUCAGCCAGUUAUGUUUCAAGAGUUCAGGGACCACACGUGACUUGUAGCUACUAAACUGGCUAGCAAAGCUCUAGCCAGAGUCUUUUCCAUUGCUUGACAUUUUUGUUUGGUUUAGUUUUCUUAUGCUUUUGUGAGUCUAUGCAACCCUGCUGGCCUGGAACUUGUUCUGUAGACCACAUUGGCCUCAAACUUAUGGCAAUGCUCCUGCCUCUGCUUCCACAGUGGUGGGAUUACAGGAAUGUGCAACCACCCCCACUGUACUUUUUGCUAGUCUUUCAGCCUAGCUCAGCAUCCACUGAGCUAAGUCCUUUGAAAGACUAGGUUUUGGUGAGCAAAGGAGAUAACUUUUUAUUUUUAUUUUUCCAGCCCUGAGGAUUGAACCCAAAGCCUCACACACACUAAGUAAGUGCUCUGCCACUGAGCUAUGUUUUUUUAGCUCCUUCUAAAAAACAAACAAACAAACCUUUAUUUUGAGACAAGGUAUUGCCAAGUUACAGCGGUUGGACUUGAACUCACUCUGUAGCCUAAGUGGGACUUGACCUUACCAUCCUUCUCCCUCUGUCUUCCAAGCACUUGGGAUUUUAGGCCUGUGCCAUAAGCCCCAGAUGAAAAUUGAAUUGGAAAGAAAUCUGGGUGAAGAAAAGGAUGACAAGGAGGAGCCAGGUGUAAUGGCUUGCAGCUAUAAUCACAAAACUGUGGACGCUGAGGCAGAACAACUUUCUCCAUGCACAGCUCCACUCCCGGGUACCUUUUCAUUCACCUAGGCACCAACUGACACCAAUAUUGGGGGGUGAUUUAGGGAUCCUAAGCCUGGUCACUCUGAUGUUUUGCUAAAUUCCCUUGUCCCCUGAAGAGGGCCUUAAGCUUGUUGUCUGCCUUGGUCGUUGUAAUAACUCAUCUUGGUUGUCAACUUGAAUACAUCUGGAAUGAGCUAAAACCCAAGCUGCUUGGCAUACCUGGGAUAGAUUUUCUUAAGACUCACCUUCAAUCUGGGCUACACCUUCUAGGGACUGGCCACAUACAGGACACGGGAGAAAGACACUUUCUCUUUGCUUGCUUCCCCCCACUCUAACUAGCAAGUUCAUCUAUCGGCUAUUGAGGCAUUCCUUCUCUGGUAUUAGAACUCGAUUCUUCAGAUUCCAGUGUAGACUGCAGGAAUCCUCUGGGACUCUAACACCAGACUGGAACUGCUGAGACAUCUAGCCUCAGGGACUGCACAAAUACCAGAUUCUCAGCCUCUCCAUUACAAGACAGCCAUUGUUGACUACUCAGACUACAUCCAGUAGCCCCUCUCCCUGUCACAAUUACAUCAGUUAACAGACUAGAGGUGAUACCCAAAGAACACGGAGGCCUGUGUGCUGAAGUAAGUCAACACAUUACUUCCGGAUCUAGAUGCUAGGAGAAAUUUCUCUCCUUAGCCCCAUCUAAUUCUCAUGUUCUCUACAAGUGCAGUGGGCACACAGAAGAGCUCUUUCUUCCUAGCAUUUUUAAGAGCCCCUGUAUCAGGCUCCAACUCUGGGCUUCAGGGUUCAGCUUAUAUGUGCUGUUUGUGGAUGAUUUAGACCACAAUACUAAACUCCUCUUUGCCUGGAUAAUUUUGCCUACAAAUGAGAGUAAUAAUAGGAGAGACCUCCCUAUUGGUGCAUCAGAUGAUUAUAGUGGUUAGUACACAUCCAAUCACUUAGUAUAGUGCCCAGUGCAGAGAAGCCUUCUUUCUCCAAGAGUUGUCCCUCAUGGUCUUUCUUCUUGCUUACAAUGGUACUUGCAGGGUCCCACAGCUGGAAACUCUAUCAUCUUGCUCUCUGCUCUUUGGCUGUUUCUUCUAUCCUGAUCAUGACCCUCCUGCCCUGGGUCUGUCUUCACAGGCUGUCUUCUCUGCCUUCUGUUUAGGGGAAAGCCAAACUACAGAGGGCCUAACUCACGCAUGAAAGGAAGAACUGAAGUAGGAUGGAAGCAUGUGGCAGGUUUCUCCAUCACAGUUUCUGUCUUGAUUUUGUAAGAAGAACAAUUCCAGAGUUUAAAAGAGCUCACAUCUUACAGGAUCAACCAAGGGUGAUGGUAGAACAUGAAGACUUCUUAUCUAUUUGGUUAGGCUCUUCAAAGCAGCAAGGAAAGAGUGCAUGCACCUGGAUCCUCCUCGCCAAUAAGGAAACCCAGAGUGCCAUCUCUUUAAGUGAGACACGUAUCAGAACAUGGCAUCGACCCCAGAAAUUGCACAGAGCCAGAGUGUCCCCAGCAUCAACACCUUUCAGGAGAGAAACUGAAUUCAUUUGCCAACAACCAACUCCAUCGGACAGUGCCAGAAAGUACGGGACUGCUUGCGUUCAUUUCUUCGAGAUGAGUCAGGGUUGCAGGGUGUCGAUGAUUAGAUGUAAAUGUUAAACCAAAAGCCCAUGGUGGUCACUUUGGCUUUCCUUCUGUGGAAAUCCAGCUUCUCACUUGGGGGGAAGGGGUUGUGUUACAUGUGAUAUUGGCAUGUUGCUCUGGUUUCCUGAAGCCCCCAUUUUUUGGGUCUCUCUGUGCCCUUCCCAUAUACACAAACACAUUUUCAGGUAAAACAUCUGGAAGGUCCUAUUUCAAAAGAGCAUGGCCAAGAAAAUCUUUCCAUUUGUAAAAAUAAUGUAAACCCUUUAGACUGUAAUGUCCUGCAGAGCAGGGGAAUUAUACAACAGCAAUAAAAUUGUCAGCUUUCAAUAAUCAGCCACAUUUUUUAUGGUAUUUUGUCACUGGGAAAGCACUUUUUAAUAAUCA